AACGCACCUUGCGCUCCUUGGUAUUCCGAGGAGCAUGCCUGUUUGAGUGUCUUGAAGUCAUCAACCCCUCGUGCUUUGCGGGAGUGGGUUGGAGCUUGAGGGCCUUGCUGCCGAAGGGCGGCUCCCUCCAAAUGCUUCGGUUGGGCCUGUGGGUCGAACUCGACUGGGCGUUGUACCAUCCUCGCUCGACCGAGACGUUCCCCUUCUGCGCCCCGCCACGACCGCCAGUGGAGCGGCGGUCAACUGGCAAAGCCUUUUUGAAAUCUGACCUCAAAUCAGGUAGGACUACCCGCUGAACUUAA
rnacentral:misc_RNA from 1 species